rnacentral:rRNA from 1 species
CACGUAGGGAGCAAGCGUUGUCCGGAUUUAUUGGGCGUAAAGAGCUCGUAGGUGGUUCGAUAAGUCAGGUGUGAAAACUCUGGGCUCAACUCAGAGACGCCACUUGAUACUGUCGUGACUUGAGUUUGGUAGGGGAGUGUGGAAUUCCCGGUGUAGCGGUGAAAUGCGCAGAUAUCGGGAGGAACACCAGUGGCGAAGGCGGCGCUCUGGGCCAGUACUGACACUGAGGAGCGAAAGCGUGGGGAGCGAACAGG